UAUUGGUCAAUGGGCGCAAGCCUGAACCAGCCAUCCCGCGUGAAGGAUGAAUGCCUUAUGGGUUGUAAACUUCUUUUAUAUGGGACGAAAAAAGGGUUUUCUAACUCGACUGACGGUACCAUAUGAAUAAGCACCGGCUAACUCCGUGCCAGCAGCCGCGGUAAUACGGAGGGUGCAAGCGUUAUCCGGAUUCACUGGGUUUAAAGGGUGCGUAGGUGGGCUGGAAAGUCAGUGGUGAAAUCCCCGAGCUUAACUCGGGAACUGCCGUUGAUACUAUCAGUCUUGAAUAUCGUGGAGGCUAGCGGAAUAUGUCAUGUAGCGGUGAAAUGCUUAGAUAUGACAUAGAACACCAAUUGCGAAGGCAGCUGGCUACACGAAUAUUGACACUGAGGCACGAAAGCGUGGGGAUCAAACAG
rnacentral:rRNA from 1 species